rnacentral:rRNA from 1 species
GACGAACGCUGGCGGCGUGCUUAACACAUGCAAGUCGAACGGAAAGGCCCUGCUUUUGUGGGGUGCUCGAGUGGCGAAAGGGUGAGUAACACGUGAGUAACCUGCCCUUGACUUUGGGAUAACUUCAGGAAACUGGGGCUAAUACCGGAUAGGAGCUCGUGCUGCAUGGUGGGGGUUGGAAAAUUUCGGCGGUUGGGGAUGGACUCGCGGCUUAUCAGCUUGUUGGUGGGGUAGUGGCUUACCAAGGCUUUGACGGGUAGCCGGCCUGAGCGGGUGACCGGCCACAAUGGGACUGAGGUACGGCCCAGACUCCUACGGGAGGCAGCAGUGGGGAAUAUUGCACAAUGGGCGGAAGCCUGAUGCAGCAACGCCGCGUGCGGGAUGACGGCCUUCGGGUUGUAAACCGCUUUCGCCUGUGACGAAGCGUGAGUGACGGUAAUGGGUAAAGAAGCACCGGCUAACUACGUG